CAUAGUUUACUGAGCCAACAAAAUAACAUUAAACAAAUAUGAGGAAGUUAAAGUCAUAGUUCAGUAUAAAAACAGACCUCCUGCUAAUAAAACACUGGUGAAUGUGUUAUGUUCAAAGGAAGAAACUUAGAAUCUCUUUGUUCGAAAAGUUACAAUCAAAAGCAUUGAAUAGAAUAAGGAUUCGCAGUAUCGUGGUGCGACGCGUCGGUGCGCGUAUCGCUUUAAGAGAGUCACGUGACCGACACAGCUGCUGUUUGGCCUGUCACAUCUGUCAACGGGAUCCAGGGUUCUUCACUUCAAGCCAUGCAGCCCGAAAGAAAAAGAAAGGUUUCUGCCGUGUGGGACCAUUUUCAUCUUAUAUCGACAAAUAAGGUUAACUCUCGCUUUGUUCGACAGAACUGUCCUACUUUAAUAAAAGCACCUUGUCAAUGCUGAAGCAUGAAAAUGAUAAGGUCACAAAUAGGAAGCAUGGACCAGGCAGUUUCAUUCUCAAGGACUCUCAAGGGAUUCAGGGAACUGCCUCAGGUCCUUGAGCCAUCAUAUGUUUUGCCAACCAGAAAGUGAAAUGUCUAGAGAAGUAGUCGCUAUAUCCAAUUAAUUUAAUAUUUAAUUUAAAUAUAUUGAUUUGCUUUUGGUUUAACUUGGUUUGAUUGUCAGACUGUCAAAGAAAGGGUGAAGAACGAGAAUGAGUGAAAAUGGAAGUACAGCAAGCUGUGGCAGUGAGUAUAACAGCUGACAUGUGGACAUGUGUGAACAUGGAGGCUUACUUGGCUCUUAUCUGUCACUACAUUCAUGAGAAUAUGCAGUUGUUUACAUCUGUGUUGAGAGACCGAGUCACAAGGGGCGUGAUGGAGGACUGGGCCAUAACUAAUAAAGUAAAGUGUCUUGUGACGCAGCACCACGUGAUUUCAUCCACAAAAAUUCUCCAAAUUCUGAAUUCAAUUUGCAUUGCUCACUCUCUAAAUUUAUUAGUAAAGAAAAUCACGUGAUCAAAUCCCUAAUUUACAUCAUUCAGACAGGUCAAGCAUGACGCCAAAGAGAAGUUUGCUCAAGUGCAGCAACAGAUUAGACGGCCUGGAACUCAUCAAUGAGGUACAAACAUGCUGGAACAGCACACAUGAUGAGAAGGAACCAGUGUGGGUACCCCUCGCCUCACUAAAAACAGACAUAACUCCACUUACGGCUGAUGAGUUUACCAUCACAGGAGAAACACUUCUUGUGCUUGCUCCUUUCCAUCAAGCUACAGUGUUAUCUGAAGAGAAGAGAGUUUGAGGGUCAAAGGUCAUCUCCAUGAUGAAAAUGCUUUAUCGUGCAGUUGAGCGUAACGCUUCAAAAAGACAGCAAUACGCCUCCACAGGCACCUGAGGCAAAGAGCCACAGACACUGCUACCAAUCUGGAGUCAUUAAUUGUGUUGAUCACUCGAUUUAAAUCACUCGGUUUCAUAGAUCCUGCAAAUGCAGUGAAGCAGUAGACUGAAAUCUGAACAUGCGGCUGUAAUUGGCUGCGCAUCGACUGAGCCACAUCCUGGUCCUUCUUCACAAGUGCUGCUAUCAGCACCCA